GCAUUAUGCAAGUUUAUCGCCUCCGGAGUAUGUUCUCUGCAACCUGACACAUGUACUAUGUGGGAAGAUGGCCCAUUUCCUGUGCAGCAUUCCAACUGUGCUGUGUGAGAACAGGACAGGACAGGAUAGGUCCAGUGUGAUUCAGAGCCCUCAGAUUCAGCAACACCCAUUCCAGUAAAUUCUCACUUUCAAAUCCAGUGGCAAGCAAGGUCAGAGUCCCUGAAUGAAUAGAAAAGGAAUUCUUUUUAAGUGUCAUUGUUAAGUUACAAGCUGACAGUGGAAAACCAGCAACCACACCCAGACUUCCAGGAGUACUACGGAAGAUGAAAUGACCCUCCCCGCUCUCCCCUCUACGCUACUCGGAGACUUGUCUUCCCAACCCAGGAAGCUCGCUCCUCAGCCUUUAAGAAGAUAAACAAAAACAGCUGCU